UACGUAGGGAGCAAGCGUUGUCUGGAAUCAUUGGGCGUAAAGCGCGCGUAGGUGGCCCCAUAAGUCCGCUGUGAAAGUCAAAGGCUCAACCUUUGAAAGCCGGUGGAUACUGUGGGACUAGAGUACGGAAGAGGCGAGUGGAAUUCCUGGUGUAGCGGUGGAAUGCGCAGAUAUCAGGAGGAACACCAAUAGCGAAGGCAGCUCGCUGGGACGUUACUGACACUGAGGCGCGAAAGCGUGGGGAGCGAACAGG
rnacentral:rRNA from 1 species